rnacentral:lncRNA from 1 species
GACACAAGAAUUGACCAGACUUCCAGUAGAGACAACCAAACAGGAUCGACCUACCUUGUUGAAAAACACUUGAAAAAAAACAGUCGAUUCACUGGACUUACUUGACUCCAUGUUCAAAGUAUGUACAUAUUCUUUUUGUCUUAUAUUUGGUUACUACUCUUCCUGGAAAUUUUGAGAAAUCAUUCUGAAGCAGUGAGGUUUUUUAAGGACUUUCUGGAAAUGCGCCUGAGUCUGACGAGAAAAAUAGGUUGAAGCAAAAGAAUCCAGAGUUAGUAUGGUCAAAGACAGCCCUCAAUUAGACACAAGUUUGGUGAUCCUAGAAAUGCAAAGAUCGAGCUAAAAGCCAAUAUUAAAUAGAUACAAUGUAAUUCAACUACAACUACAUGAUGCUAAAGUUACAAGCAAGCAAUUAAUGAAAGAUAUAUAAACUCACAAAAAUAACAGAGGCUCUCAUUUUGACCCAUAGGCCAUAGAUCUUCUUCAGUGCUUAGUCGGAAAAAAAUGGAAACAUUCUAGAAUAGAUGAGAGCUGAAACUACAAAGCAAUCCAAAACUAGUAGAAAUUUGUAGUUUCCGCUUUAUUCCUGCGAUGUACACUAUAUUUAUCGGCAUGUGGGAAGCUUUCAUCGCAAGUGCCAAUGAAGAUAUACUCAGUUUUUUCUUUGAUUUCCAGAGCAUUAUUUCCGAGAUUGAAAACUGCGACUCAAACGAUCUUAAAGAAGUUCUGCUGGUGUUAGGAGCAACUAUUCUAAGUCCUCAAAACGUAUUCCGGAUAAAAAUCCCGCAGAUAGAAAAACUGCAUUCAGAUAAAUAUCAUCCACCAAGAAAGCAACUUUUCAAUGUUCUCAGGUCACUGGUGGGCACUUCAAAUUUCGCAGAUCUUAUGUGUAAAGAAAUUAGCUCUAAAAAUUUAUUCAUUUUCUUGAAACUGAACGCAAGUUACUGCGUCAAGUCAAGUCAUCUACUUCCGAAAGAGAACUUCAGCUUACCAUUGAGAGCUCAAGAGUCGAUUAUCAAUAUACUUACAUCAGAUGGAAGUUCUGCAGAUUGUUGUUGUUCGGGUAUAAAAAUUUUCAAUGACUCCAAUGUGGAGACCUCUCCUGCGCGGGCAGAUAGUGAAAAUUCCGCCACCACUUUAGACAUCGGCAACGAAAGCCUGACGUCUUGGUAUCAAUUCAAAUCCCCCUUUGUGGGAUUCAAAGAUGAGAAAGUAAAUGGUGUGUCAAUUGUGAAUCUAUGGAUGAAAUCAUGA